UACGUAGGGUGCAAGCGUUAAUCGGAAUUACUGGGCGUAAAGCGUGCGCAGGCGGUUUUGUAAGUCUGACGUGAAAUCCCCGGGCUCAACCUGGGAAUUGCGUUGGAGACUGCAAGGCUAGAAUCUGGCAGAGGGGGGUAGAAUUCCACGUGUAGCAGUGAAAUGCGUAGAGAUGUGGAGGAACACCGAUGGCGAAGGCAGCCCCCUGGGUCAAGAUUGACGCUCAUGCACGAAAACGUGGGGAGCAAACAGG
rnacentral:rRNA from 1 species